AUAAAUACUAGUAAAAGAGAUUAUUACAUUGCUUUGUCGAAGCAAAAGUGCGGGUUAAACCCCCGCGUGUUUA
rnacentral:tRNA from 1 species